AGGAUAAUAGUUAAAUAUAACAUUUGAUUUGCAUUCAAAAAGUACUGCUACCAGUUUAUCUUA
rnacentral:tRNA from 1 species